rnacentral:rRNA from 1 species
UCCUACGGGAGGCAGCAGUGGGGAAUUUUGGACAAUGGGCGAAAGCCUGAUCCAGCAAUGCCGCGUGCAGGAUGAAGGCCCUCGGGUUGUAAACUGCUUUUGUACGGAACGAAAAGCCUGGGGCUAAUAUCCCCGGGUCAUGACGGUACCGUAAGAAUAAGCACCGGCUAACUACGUGCCAGCAGCCGCGGUAAUACGUAGGGUGCAAGCGUUAAUCGGAAUUACUGGGCGUAAAGCGUGCGCAGGCGGUUUUGUAAGACAGUGGUGAAAUCCCCGGGCUCAACCUGGGAACUGCCAUUGUGACUGCAAGGCUAGAGUGCGGCAGAGGGGGAUGGAAUUCCGCGUGUAGCAGUGAAAUGCGUAGAUAUGCGGAGGAACACCGAUGGCGAAGGCAAUCCCCUGGGCCUGCACUGACGCUCAUGCACGAAAGCGUGGGGAGCAAACAGGAUUAGAUACCCUGGUAGUCC